rnacentral:rRNA from 1 species
UAGGGAAUAUUAGAAAUGGACGAAAGUCUGAUCUAGCAACACCGCGUGUGCGAAGAAGGCCUUCGGGUUGUAAAGCACUUUUUGGAAGGAUUAGGAAGGAAUGUACUUCCAGAAUAAGUCUCGGCUAACUACGUGCCAGCAGCCGCGGUAACACGUAGGAGGCAAACGUUAUCCGGAUUUACUGGGCGUAAAGCGCGUGUAGGUGGUUCUGUAAGUAGGGCGUGAAAGCUCCUGGCUCAACUGGGAGAGGCCGUUCUAAACUACAGAACUAGAGGGUGGUAGAGGGAGGUGGAAUUCCAGGUGUAGCGGUGGAAUGCGCAGAUAUCUGGAGGAACACCAGUGGCGGAGGCGGCCUCCUGGACCAUUCCUGACACUCAGACGCGAAAGCUAGGGUAGCAAACG